CUGCAACACCUCAACAGCAACAAGCACACCUGCUACCUAGAACUUGGUUUCUAAAAACCAUCCUCCUCUAAAAGGAAACAGAGCUCUUUGAAGAAACGGUGAGACAGUCAACAAACCUCUAACCACCGACCUUUUCUCCUCUGCCCUCCACUCACACUCUGCUCCAUCACCCUCAGCCACACAGCUGACGCUGUAGAGAUUCACUGACAUCCAGUCUGAUGGACACUGUUUCUCCAGCCGAAACUGCUCAUGAGAACAUGUGCAGUGAAGUGCUCCAGAGGCCCCAGCAUGCUACAUUACAGAAGACUGAACUCAGGAGAGAUGAGGAAUAAUCCCCUCCAUCACACCAGACACCAGGAGGGUGUGCCAAGGUAUUCUAAUAAUACUGCGUGACAUUACGGACAACUUAGCCUAAAUUAUGGAAAAUCAAAUUAUUUAGUAGAACUGCAAGACAAUCCUCUCAGUUGUUGUAAGGUAACUUUGCUGAACUUGUGAAGAAUGGUGUGCAAGGUCCAGAGCGACUGCAGGAGAGGGAAGGUGGGAUUCCCACAGAGCAGGAGCACAGAUAAGCCAAGCAAGGCCCUGCUUGGAAGGCAGCAAUCAACAGAGAUGCACAGACCUGUGAGGGUGCCGGGACAGCCAUGCAACAAUGCAGCCCUUUUGCUUCCUGAGCUCACCAGUUCCCUCGCUCCACCUCUGAGAGGUGGUUUGGAGAAACACAGCCCUUCUCAAGAGGGCUGCAAGCUACUUAAGUCCUGAAAAUUUCCACAAGGCUGAGUCAAAUCUGCGUUUCAUCAUCUAUAAGAAAGGUACCUAUCGAGAACACCCUGCUGGCCAGUGUGUAAAUAUCUAAAGGAGGACUCAGAAAACACCGGGGAAGUCCAGCCUGCACGUGGUGGCUGGGCUUCAGUGAAGCAUGCAGCACAACAGGAGUUAGCAGACCACAAAGAGCAUGUCUGGACCUAGAACCACAGCAUGUAACCUCGGAAGCAGUGAGACACCAGCCAGCAUGGACAAGCAGCAGGCACUUGCUCUAUACC
rnacentral:lncRNA from 10 species